GCGUUGUUCGGAAUUACUGGGCGUAAAGCGCACGUAGGCGGACAUUUAAGUCAGGGGUGAAAUCCCAGGGCUCAACCCUGGAACUGCCUUUGAUACUGGGUGUCUUGAGUACGAGAGAGGUGAGUGGAAUUCCGAGUGUAGAGGUGAAAUUCGUAGAUAUUCGGAAGAACACCAGUGGCGAAGGCGGCUCACUGGCUCGUAACUGACGCUGAGGUGCGAAAGCGUG
rnacentral:rRNA from 1 species